CCUACGGGAGGCAGCAGUGAGGAAUAUUGGACAAUGGGCGCAAGCCUGAUCCAGCCAUGCCGCGUGCAGGAAGAAUGCCCUAUGGGUUGUAAACUGCUUUUAUUUAGGAAGAAACCCCCCAACGUGUUGGGGGCUGACGGUACUAAACGAAUAAGGACCGGCUAACUCCGUGCCAGCAGCCGCGGUAAUACGGAGGGUCCAAGCGUUAUCCGGAAUCAUUGGGUUUAAAGGGUCCGCAGGCGGGCUUUUAAGUCAGUGGUGAAAUCUCUUGGCUUAACCAAGAAAUUGCCAUUGAAACUAUAAGUCUUGAAUUCGGUCGAAGUGGGCGGAAUGUGUCAUGUAGCGGUGAAAUGCAUAGAUAUGACACAGAACACCGAUAGCGAAUGCAGCUCACUAGGCCUGAAUUGACGCUCAGGGACGAAAGCGUGGGGAGCGAACAGGAUUAGAUACCCUGGUAGUCCACGCCGUAAACGAUCAUUACUCGAUAUCAGCGAUAUACAGUUGGUGUCUAAGCGAAAGUGAUAAGUAAUGCACCUGGGGAGUACGAUCGCAAGGUUGAAACUGGAAGGAAUUGACGG
rnacentral:rRNA from 1 species